UACAGAGGGUGCAAGCGUUAAUCGGAAUUACUGGGCGUAAAGCGUGCGUAGACGGUUGCGUAAGUCAGAUGUGAAAGCCCCGGGCUCCAACCUGGGAAUUGCAUUUGAGACUGCGUAGCUAGGGUGCGGAAGAGGGAAGCGGAAUUUCUGGUGUAGCAGUGAAAUGCGUAGAUAUCAGAAGGAACAUCAGUGGCGAAGGCGGCUUCCUGGAC
rnacentral:rRNA from 1 species